UUGACUCUAUCUCUUGGUAGUAUCCGUAUAAAACUACGUCGGAUCCUUCCUGAAACAUAACCUAGAAUCAUAUUUUCAUUAUCAACCUUUCGAACUGCUGCUGAAUCCAUGGGCAGGCAAGAGACAACCUGGAAAACUGAAACAUCUUAGUAGCCGGAGGAAAAGAAAGCAAAAGCAAUUCCAGUAGUAGCGGCGAGCGAAAUGGGAGUAGCCUAAACAGUGAAAACGGGGUGGUGAAUUUUUGGAGUCAAA
rnacentral:ncRNA from 1 species